GGGGAUGUAGCUCAGCGGUAGAGCAUUUGCCUAGCAUGCUUGAAGCUCUGGGUUUCAUCCCCA
rnacentral:tRNA from 1 species